UGGAAUGGCUAGAGGCAGCAGAGAAGAAUAAUUAAGAAAGGAGGAGAAUAGAACAACAACAUCCUUCAAUUUUCGAAAAUUGUUACCAGUUGUGUGCAUCACAGAGCUUGCUCAUCCAUGCUGACAAUGUCAGACCAAGUUCACACAGUUUUCCCAUUUGGACUAGGCACCAGGCCUUUGGGAUUCUAAUUACAAAUAUAUCUUCAGUGUUGAUUGUGGUUCUUUUUCUCUGAGUUCUGUGUUGUAUCUAUAUCUUUCUUAGGAGCAUGACAGAUAUUUGGCACCAGGGCAUUCCCCAGCAGGAACACCAGACAUCCGUCACCAGGUGCAGAAUCUUAUUAUAGACCGCGGUGCUGCUAGUGGAUUCAGUAUGGGGUGGGGAACGUUUUUGGCUUAGUUUGCAUGGUCGACUGCAGUUUGUUAAAGUUGGCUUGAGUGUCAAAAUUUAAAACAGGCCUUGGCUUCAGAGUCACAUUUGCAGCGAGAGGCUUCUUGGAGUUCUGUGCAGGGGAAGCGUUCCUCUUUGAAGGUGCCAAGCCCUGAAACCUCUGAAAUGAUGACAGACUGGUCUGAAAUUGAACCCUGAAGGAUGGUUAAGAGAUGUGUGUGUCUGAAUUCUUCACCCAGUCCAAAAGCCACCAAGGAGAAGGAGGCUGCAAUUUGUGAUCUGAGCCAUUUAGAGUUGCUAAAUGUCAUUUGGAUCAUGGAAAUAUGAUCCACAAAUGGAAAUAAAGUCAUUGGUGACAUCUAGUUAGGUUGCAAGGCCAUACGCAAAAAAAAUGAAGACGUUAAUGGACUGGAAGUUUCAACCGCCAGUUGGAAGAGAAGAAAUCAGAAUGAUCCCUUCUGAACAUUUCUGGGCAAAUAAAUAAUACCAUAUCUGAACACUUAUGAAAAUCCCCAUUGAGAUGAAAGAGGCCAAACUCACUGUCGGGCACGUUGUGAUAUUUCAAGAGAGAUGCCCUUUUGUCCAAGGCAUCCUAUGUGGCAUCAACACCUAGGAGUAAGAAGUCUAUAUGAGAAUUCCAUCCAGAUUCACGGGACAUUUCUAAAAUUGAUUUUCACCAAUUUCCAUCAUCUUCAUUUUUAUCAUCAUCAUCAUCAUCAUUCCGUUUUUCCAAGCAGAAACAGAACUGUUCUAUUUUUCCAACCAGUUAAAUAUUAGCAGUGUUUUGUUUUGGUGCAAACACUUCUCUUUCCAUUAUUUACCCAUUAUUGAGUCAAUGUUAACAUUAAAAGAAAAAUGUUGGUUUUUGUUAUUUCACUUUGCUUAAUUUGACCUACAAUUUUGCCACCAGAGUGAAUGUGUCAUUAAUUAAUAACAAUUUUAGAAUUAAAUGAAUGCUGAGUUUCAUCUGAAGUCAAUCAUUUCAGCUAAAAAUAAAUUUAAUCAAGUUGCACCUUUACUCUAGAAAAUGUCUAAGUUAAUGAAUAACUUUUUUUUACUAAUUAGCUCUUUAGUUGGUAUAUGUUGCAGUUCAAAGUUUUUUCUCUAGUCUUUGUCACUGACUGGCUUUUGCUUGUCAGGGAUGGAGAGAGGGGGGUCUUUAUCUAAUUUAUAGAUAAUAUAAGGCUGGGUGGAUAGGAAUAAAUGUAAAUAAAGUAGAAAAUCUAACAGAAAUUUUUUAAAAUUAAAAUUCCACAGAAACUAAUGUAAAAUGUUACACCUCAGCCACCCAAACCACAGAUAUAGGAUGGAAGAUACUUGGCUCAACAAAUUAUGUUGCCAAAAACAACACCCCUUCCCAAUGAUUUCUAGUUCUCUAAGAGGACCAAAAUAAAAUGAAUGAUUUUUCUUCCCUUCUCCACCAAACUUCCAUGACUCUAGCAAAGAGCAAGACUGGAAGAAAGACCAACA